rnacentral:rRNA from 1 species
GACGAACGCUGCGGCGUGCUUAACACAUGCAAGUCGAACGGAAAGGCCCUGCUUUUGUGGGGUGCUCGAGUGGCGAACGGGUGAGUAACACGUGAGUAACCUGCCCUUGACUUUGGGAUAACUUCAGGAAACUGGGGCUAAUACCGGAUAGGAGCUCCUGCUGCAUGGUGGGGGUUGGAAAGUUUCGGCGGUUGGGGAUGGACUCGCGGCUUAUCAGCUUGUUGGUGGGGUAGUGGCUUACCAAGGCUUUGACGGGUAGCCGGCCUGAGAGGGUGACCGGCCGCAUUGGGACUGAGAUACGGCCCAGACUCCUACGGGAGACAGCAGUGGGGAAUAUUGCACAAUGGGCGGAAGCCUGAUGCAGCAACGCCGCGUGCGGGAUGACGGCUUCGGGUUGUAAACCGCUUUCGCCUGUGACGAAGCGUGAGUGACGGUAAGGGUAAAGAAGCACCGGCUAA